rnacentral:rRNA from 1 species
UAGGGAAUAUUGGGCAAUGGACGCAAGUCUGACCCAGCCAUGCCGCGUGCAGGAUGAAUGCCUUAUGGGUUGUAAACUGCUUUUGUACGGGAAGAAUCCCCUGAACGUGUUCAGGGUUGACGGUACCGUGCGAAUAAGGAUCGGCUAACUCCGUGCCAGCAGCCGCGGUAAUACGGAGGAUCCAAGCGUUAUCCGGAUUUAUUGGGUUUAAAGGGUGCGUAGGCGGAUUGAUAAGUCAGUGGUGAAAUCCUACAGCUUAACUGUAGAAUUGCCAUUGAUACUAUCUAUCUUGAGUACAGUUGGGGUGGGUGGAAUUUGUCAUGUAGCGGUGAAAUGCAUAGAUAUGACAAAGAACACCGAUCGCGAAGGCAGCUCACCAAACUGUAACUGACGCUGAGGCACGAAAGCGUGGGGAUCAAACAGG